CAACAGUAUAUACUUGGAAGUCUUUCUUCUCCUCUUCUCCCUUCUUGCUGGCUGGAAUGUGUAUGUGAUGAGUGAAGUUUGAACAUCCAUAUUGCACUACAAGAUGAAGACCGCAUGCUAAAAAUGGUGGAGCAGCAAGACGGAAGUCUCCUGUAUCCCUGAUGAUUUUGUGAAGCCACCACUCCACCCUUGCACUGCCUAGCUCUGGAUUUAUUUUAUGUGUUGUUCCUGAAAGCACUCC
rnacentral:lncRNA from 1 species